GACGAACCGAGCGAACGUUGUUCGGAAUCACUGGGCUUAAAGGGCGCGUAGGCGGGGUCAUAAGCCUGUGGUGAAAUCCUCCGGCUCAACCGGAGAACUGCCUCGGAUACUGUGGCUCUCGAGGGUGGUAGGGGUAUGCGGAACUAUCGGUGGAGCGGUGAAAUGCGUUGAUAUCGAUAGGAACUCCGGUGGCGAAGGCGGCAUACUGGACCACUUCUGACGCUGAGGCGCGAAAGCCAGGGGAGCAAACGGG
rnacentral:rRNA from 1 species